UCUCAGAUUUCUUCAAUAAGUAUCUUUAGGAGCAUGUCCCAAGGCACCUCCAAGGACCCCUCACAUUCAUGCUGAAGAGCCCUCCAGAGACCACCAAACAUAUCUUGAGAUCAUCAGGCCCACAAAAAGGAGUAAUUUCUGACCAGCAGCCAGCACUAAAGGCCCAAGGUCCUGCUGACCCAUCACUUCCUUCCCUCAUCCCAAUCUAGGCUACACCCACUUGCUACUGACCUGAGUUGCCCUGCCACCCAGUCUCCACUUUCCUGCUUCUUUUUGAGGACACGGUCUGUUCACAGGAUGUCCCUGCUGGAAGCAUUCACCUUCUUGUCCUUCUGGGCACUUGGACUUGGGUUAUCAAAAUUGGAGCAGUCUCAGAUAUCCAUUUCCACAGAAGUAAAGAAAAGUGUUGACAUAUACUGCAAGGUAUCAAGCACAAAUUUUGAAAACGACAUCAUUCACUGGUACCGGCAAAAAUCGAAUCAGGCUUUGGAACAUUUGAUUUAUGUGAGCUCAACAAAAAGCCCAGCUCGAAGUAACCAAGGUGGGAAGAACAACAAAAUUGAGGCAAGAAAGAAUUCUCCAAGUCUCACUUCAAUGCUGACCAUAAAUUUCAUAGAAAAAGAAGAUGUGGCCAUUUACUACUGUGCUGGCUGGACUCACACUACUAGAACUGUUGAGACAACCCACACAAUAUCCACUACUUGGAUCUGUGCCCACCCACAUCCUUCCCAAUAG